GCAUAACGCGAAGAACCUUACCUACUCUUGACAUCCAGAGAACUUAGCAGAGAUGCUUUGGUGCCUUCGGGAAUUCUGAGACAGGUGCUGCAUGGCUGUCGUCAGCUCGUGUUGUGAAAUGUUGGGUUAAGUCCCGCAACGAGCGCAACCCUUAUCCUUUGUUGCCAGCGGUUCGGCCGGGAACUCAAAGGAGACUGCCAGUGAUAAACUGGAGGAAGGUGGGGAUGACGUCAAGUCAUCAUGGCCCUUACGAGUAGGGCUACACACGUGCUACAAUGGCGUAUACAAAGAGAAGCGACCUCGCGAGAGCAAGCGGACCUCAUAAAGUACGUCGUAGUCCGGAUUGGAGUCUGCAACUCGACUCCAUGAAGUCGGAAUCGCUAGUAAUCGUAGAUCAGAAUGCUACGGUGAAUACGUUCCCGGGUCUUGUACACACCG
rnacentral:rRNA from 1 species